rnacentral:tRNA from 1 species
AAUAAGGUGCCUGAUAAAAGGGUUACUUUGAUAGAGUAAAUCAUGUAAGAUA